ensembl:lncRNA
AAGAGAGGACAGUAGAGGUGAAGAGAGGACAGUAAAGGGGAAGAGAGGACAGUAGAGGACAGUAUUGGUGAAGAGAGGACAGUAGAGGACAGUAGAGGUGAAGAGAGGACAGUAGAGGACAGUAGAGGACAGUAGAGGUGAAGAGAGGACAGUAAAGGACAGUAGAGGUGAAGAGAGGACUGUAGAGGACAGUAGAGGUGAAGAGAGGACAGUAGAGUACAGUAGAGGACAGUAGAGGUGAAGAGAGGACAGUAGAGGUGAAGAGAGGACAGUAGAGGUGAAGAGAAGACAGUAGAG